rnacentral:lncRNA from 1 species
CUUCUACCCGCGAAACCUGUGCUCAGGCAAGGAGGGCGGCGGCGUGCGCGUGCGGGUGGUCUUGCAGCUCCGCCUCCCGGGCACCUCGGGGACCUUUCGUUAGUCUCUCUGCUGGCCCUCCGCUUAUUCAUUUUAUUCUCUCUUGGAUGGUAAGAAUGAAUUAAAUGUGUAGCAGAAAGAUCUUGGGCUGUGAUAUGAGACGCGAGUUCAAAUCCAGCCCUCACUUACUGUCAGUAUGGUAUCGGUCCAGGUAUUUCAACUUUUCUUACCUGUAAAAUGGAGUCUGCCCAUUAGAGGUUGCAGUGAGCCAAGAUCAUGCCACUACAGCCUUGAUGAGAGAGUGAGACCCUGUCUCAGGAAAAAAAAAAAUAAUUCAUUUCCUUGUGGCUUUAUGAGUAAGGACCCAGAUUUUUUUCUGGCUAUCAUCUGGAAGCCACUCUCAAGUCCUAGAGGCUGCCCACAGUUCUUUGCCAAAGGGUUCACUAACAUGUCUGUUCACUUACGCCAGUAAAAGCCAGGCACAGUGGCUCAUGCCUGUAAUUUCAGCUCAGUGAAGUAGAGGUGGGAGGAUCACUUGAGACCAGAAGUUUGAGACCAGCCAAGGGCUUUCAUUUAAUUAAGUUAGGCCCACCCAGGACCUGACCCCAAAAUCAGCUGAUUCACGACCUCAAUUACAUCUGCCAAACCUCUUAUUUUUGCCAUGUUUAUUACCUAAGCAAUCCACACUAGGGGUCAGGAGUGGGUUGUGGGGACAGCAGAAGCAGGAGUUGUGGGGCUACCUAGGGUCUGUCACGUGGUCCUUUAAUAAUCUCAUAUAAUCCUUUCUUGUGAAUUCCUAUGGCAUCUAUAUGGAAGCUAUUAGUAUAAUAAUAUAUUCUGUGCA